rnacentral:rRNA from 1 species
UAGGGAAUCUUCCACAAUGGACGCAAGUCUGAUGGAGCAACACCGCGUGAGUGAAGAAGGGUUUCGGCUCGUAAAGCUCUGUUGUUAAAGAAGAACACGUAUGAGAGUAACUGUUCAUACGUUGACGGUAUUUAACCAGAAAGUCACGGCUAACUACGUGUCAG